CCUGGGAGCCCAGUAUGCCGCCCCCGAGAGCCUCAAGUCCCGCCCCCGGGAGCCGCACGCCUAGUGCCCGUGCAGCCCGGGACCCGCUGGGCCACUUCGCGAGGUCACGGGCACCCCCAGGCAUCUUAGCCGCAAGCCCCCGCGGUCCCUCUAAGGUGCCCUUCCAGCCUGCUGGCCCAGCGGCGUUUAGGCCUGGGAGAGCUGGCGGCGUCUGCCAACCCCGGGGCGAGGGGCGCUUACGGGUGCUUUCGCUGGGACGCCGGCGGCUCCCAGCAGAAGAAAGCGUGUGAGUCAGUGUCAGCGUGCGUAAACGCUGAAUCCCGCGUUACCAAAGUCCCCAGACAGGCAGAUGAGCCCCGAGGGGAAUGUGCCAAGAGUGACUGUAUCACGGGGUUUUGUCUCUGGGGUCUUCCUCUGCGUCCCUGAGAGGUCUGGCUUCCGCUCACCUUCCCAGCCUGGCACACGUUAGGAGCUCACCAAAUGAAUGAACGUUGUGAACCACCCAACUCACAAUGCCAUGUCACACUUCCUUUGUGUGCCUUCCACAAGCAGGAAAUCAUGCAUCGGGCCUCAGAUAUACAGCACCAAAGGGACUCCGCAGCCAACGACUCAGUCCAUCUGGGUGGUUCUGAUACAGCCCGAUGGUUGCCAUGAUUUGAGAGAGUUGAGAACCUUGAGAGGAAAAAGCCACUGCUCCCAAGCUCUUCCACCAGGGUGACCGGACUCCGCCGAUCCUCACGCGCCCGGCACAGCCUCGUCUCCUUCCGCAGCUGGCCCGAGUCUUCUCUCCACACCAGCUGGGGUUGUUUCCUGUGGCUGCUGUCACAGGUGACCCCAAAGGGAGGGACUUAAAUCUUUCCUUUCCUCUUCCAGCUGCUGGUGGCCCCAGGUGUUCCUUGGCUCGUGGCCACAUCCCUUCGGUCUCUGCCUCUGUUCUCACCUGGCCUUCUCCUCUGUGUGUCUGUGUGUCUCCCGUUUCUCUAUUACCAAAUAAGGUCAUGUGCACAGGUUCCAGGGGUCACGACACGGGCACGUCUUUUAGGGGGCUACUCUUCGGUCCACAAUACCAACCACCAGCCAGAGGGAGCUUCCGAAACUGGCCUUCACCCUGGGAGCGGUCGGUUGGAGAGCAGCGUCAUCCAAGUCCAGUCCCGUCACCUGUCCUUGGAACCUGAGAACGUCGCUCCGCUGUAACCCCUUCUUGCCCACCUCACCCCCUCUCCUCCAACACCUCUUGGGCCUCCGAUCGCUCACCGUCAGCGAGCCCAACCGCCUUCCUCUGGGUCCGCCUCCGGGUUUCCGCUGCCCUCUUCCCUACUGCCCUUCUCAGCUCCGCAACUCAGAAGCCGUGGGUGUCCGGAGGCGGGAAGUCCAAGACCAGUGCGCCGGGACAGUUGGCUUCUGUGUGACAGCCGACAGCUUCGAAGCCUCAUCCUCCCUGUCCCUUGUGCCCCACACAUGGGCAAGCUGAUGUCAAAGCCUCCGGGCUCCCUUCCUCGGCAUCAGAGGGGAGUUCGCACCACCCACAGGAACCCCCGCCCCUGCUCUAGCUCCAAACACGACAGAGACACCCCCGCACCCCCUGCCCGGUCUCCUUUCCAUGUCCUCUCAAGUCGUCUUCUGACCACCUUGGGGACCUGCCGUGCGAUCCCAGGAAGCCUCAAUGUUUUUGAGUAAAAACCAGCUCUACAGAGAGAAAGACUGAACAGCUCUGAACACCCAUGAGAUCUCGUGUGACCAAGUUGGACCCCAGAAGUGUGGAGAGUCGGCAUGAGGGUUAGAAAACCCACUCCAGCAAUAGGCAUGUACAAAUAGCUGCUACAGCUCCAGAGACGAAAAGUAGAUUCGUGGGUGUCAGGG